CCGGCGGCUGGGCCCGGGGGGUGCUGAGGGAGGCUGGCCGCAGCGGGGCUGUGUGUGGGAUUGCCGCUGAACGGCGGUGCUGUUCCGCGGCCUGGAGUCGCCAGGAGACGGCGAGCACCUCAGCUUGUGAGCGGUGCUGUUGCUGGGCUGGUGGAGGGGAUGGUCAGCCUCUGGCGAGUUUUUAACUUUUUUUCUUUUGAGAAUGUUAGGUUGUCUAAGUCACUUCAAAAAAUACUUGGCUACAUAAAGAGACUGGUUAGGAAACGAUGAGUGCUUACCUCCUAAAUGCCUAUGAUACAUAAAAUCUACACUUAAUAAAGUAUGGAAGCAGUGUUCUACAAUGAACAGACAUACACAGGAGAAUGUGCUGCUGCUCUGGACUUGUGUAGAAAAUCCUUUUUAAUUUGAGAUUCAUUAUCCACAAUCUGGACCAGAAGAUUGAAGCAUCACAGCAACACAUUCGCCCAAAGUGGUAGUUGGACAGAUUAAACUAGUACAACCAGGAAUGUGUGUUGCCUUGUAGAGUGCAGAGCUAUUGCCUGUCCUGUGGUGUUGAGAACCUGUGAAAAAUAUUUUCUUAUUACCCCCUGGAGAUGACCACUGUCAUGUGAAGCUUUCUCAUCCUUUACACCUGUCUACCAUGAAAUACUACACAUUGUAUUAUUGUUAACAUUUAUGUUCCUAAAAACAAUAGUUCAGUACUUAAGGACUUGUUAUGGAAGUUUUCAGUUCAAGGCACUCUGUACCAAGUAGGAAACCUCUACCAAGAACUGUAUUUGCUGCUUUGGACCAAACAGGUAGGUGAAGUGAGCAGAACAUGGUGUUGAAUUCUGUCAGAAGAUAGAUUGCAAGGCAAUUCUUUGCAAAGACAGCUUUAGGCAAGCAGAAAUGGUGUCUAUUUGUUGUGCUCUAAGCUUGAAAAUUUAUAAUCAGAUCUGAUGUGUUUUAGUAACGUUACCCUCUGUUGGCUCUCACUGCUAGGUAGAAUGUCAGUGCACCCUUCUCUUGGACACUGAAUGCUUUCUGUAUGUCCUGGCAUGCUGGAUGUGUUUUCUGGCUGAUAACAGAGGGGUUUAUAUCCCCCUUUUUGCACAGAGAUAGAUUCUGUACAGAGAUUUCCUCUGCCAAAAGCCAUCCUGAGUUUCUGCCAGUCAAAAGUUACCCCAUCUCGCCCGUGGUUAAUGGAAUUUACACAUGAGAUAGUCACACAUUUCCAAGCAUUUGAAAUGGCAGGGUUUCGCUGUAAAACCCAAAUCUGUAAAGAAACUGCAUGUUUCAGUUCACUUUGCAAAAUGCAGAAUCUGCUGAUUUGCUUGCCAGUUGGUUUGGUGAGGAGCCUUUCAUCCCACUGUCUGCAAACCAGGACAUUGUUCAUGCAGAACUGCCAAUUCUAGGAUUGCAAAAAAAACCCCCAAACUAAACCAGAUUUGAAUAAAACUGAGGGGGGGCCGGGGGAGAAGAUUGUCGGGACUCUAGCUCCAGACUAGGGCUGCUAUGUGGGUAGCACCUGUUGCAGUGGAAUGUUUUGGAUUCUCAUCAGUGGCAAAGGACAUUCUGGGGUCCUUCAAAUUCCUUGGAACAGACACAGAGUCCUUGAAUUUUGAAGGGAUCCUGGGGACUCAUUGACAGUCAAGGCAGGUAGCUCCGUUUCAGAUCUGGAAAUAUCAAAAUAUGAAAUAAUUAAACAAAUCCUUUCUUUAGGAGGCUUAGCAGAGGUUUAAAAUACAAAUGUAAAUCCCUCUAAAGCUAAGAGAGUCAAAAGCCUGCAGAGUUUGCAAGAAACUGUCCAGUUCAACUGAAUAUGCUCAGAUUUGACGGGCAGAACAUCUUAAAAUAUCACAUCUCGUGGAGAAGCAGAACAACUGGCUUUUUAGGAGAGAAUACUUUUCUCCCCCUUCUGUGAUUGCUGUUGCUAACAUUUUUUAAAUGCCAGUUUUCUCCCAGGAGGUAAGAGAGAUUAAACAGCACCCGUUUCUAAUAAUCCACCUGAGUGCUUGCUGCCAAAACAUGGCCUGAAUUUGAGUAGAUGCUUCAUUAAGACUCACCACCUGCUUUUGAUAUCUGGCUUUAGCAUAGGUUUGCCGUGUGAUCAUAAGAAUUCAUUUAAGGCGGAAUUUUCAAAGGUGUCAUCUAAGUAACCUAGGUGCCUGCAUUUCAUUUUGAGAGGCUUAGUCACUUAUGGCUGGAUUCUCAAGGGGCCUUUGAAACCUAGAAAACGUUAUAAUUUUUUAAUCAGUUUUCAGAAGUCUGCUUUCAGGUCCUGCUAAGGAGACUGGAAAUUUCGUUAUUGAGUUCAAUAGCAUACGGGUUAAGUCCGAAUAAUACAUUGGUGCCUUCCCAUUCAGAUUUUUCUGUGCCUUUGACCUAGCUGCAGAGAGUAAAACCUCUUUGAUGCAAUCUGUACAGCCUUUCUGUAGAGUGGUACUUUGUAAUAACUUGCAGUGAUGCAUGUAUUAUAAUGAUCUUUUUCAUUCUUCCUGCAUCUGAAACAAGGGUGAAAUACAACAGAAUCUGUGAAUAAUGAAACAUAAAUGCUAUGAUGAAAUUUAAAAAAAUUCAGCUCCCUAGAUGAGAGAAAAUACUUAGGUAGUUCAUAUAGGUACAUAUAGUGCACUAAUGCUGUGACCCAGAGCAAUUUGAAAAUAAAGUUGAUGGAUUACAUAAAUACUAGUGGGAGAAGAACAAAAACUAAAUAUACAUUGGAUACUUAAACGUUACGCUGCAGUAACGUGCACUUUAAUUUGGUGGAUAUUUUCACAGAAUGUUUAAGCUUCCAUUUGCCCCAUCUCCAGCUUCUUGUCCUUUUUCCUCUUUUCACCCUGGAGGGAACUAACACAACUAAAUCUGAUUUUGUGCAUGGUGAGGGGGUGUUCUGACCAGCUGUUUCAGCAACAGAAAGGACUUACAUUAGAUGAAGUGACCUGGUCUUAGUUACGGAAAGUAAUGAUGACCUUUAUUCCUGUUCUCUUUGCUCAUGUGAUUACUCCCACUUGCUCAGUAUUGCCAGACUCAUUCAAGGUGCUCUCUUGGACACUUCUCAACAUCAGACAUUGUUUUAAAAAUAAGAGUAUUUAAAAUGUUUAAAUACAAAGUUCUUUUUGUUUAUCAUCACGUUUCUGAACCUUUAAUCUUACAGCUUCAGGCUUUUCUUGAGGUGAAGGCUGGAUAGCUACUUAAGAGCAAAAGAAGGAAGUGCUGAUUUUGUUACGUAACUCCAGAAGUUUUAAGAAUACAUUGUGGCAACGGUAGAAAAGGUCAUAACACAGCUAACAAGACUGUGAUCUGGUUAUGCUUUUUUUUCAUUCAAUUUGCUGCAAGCAAUUGUAUUCAAGUAAAAGCAGCCAUCCAGCAUACCGAUUGUCUUUGUUUCUGGUGCUGUGAAGUUAGUGGGACUAAAUCACAUGUGCAAUGGGAAAAGUGUGUGAAAGACUUUACAAGAGUGCACCUUUUGUGAAUUAUUGUUACAGUGAUGUAAACAAUGGAUUUCUCUGUUCAUUGAUAACUAAAUGAAAUAAAUUGGAUUGAACCACAACACUUUUUUGGGAGUGAUAAGAAGUGGGAAAAACCCACUUAGUUUUAUGUCAAGAAGUUUAAUUUUGAUUAUGAUAAAUUUAAAUCUUCUCAAUUACAAAACAAUGAUUUUCAAAUCCUUAAAAACUUUCAAAUUCAUUAUUUAGGCUUUGCAAUUUGUUUUUUUUCUUUUUAUCAGAAAGGUUUGCAAAAUGAAGGUGUAACUUUUUUGUAUUUCCUAUUUCCAUAUUAAAGAAAAUGGGGCAGUAAUGUGUGAAGAGUGCAGACUGAAAAAAUGGCAAACGAUCUCAGUGUACGCUGGUUAAAUAAGUGCUAAGUAUUUCUGUCAGCCAGAAGGUGGUAGCAAAAUUCUCCUGUAACAGCUCUGAAUUGUGUUCCAGCAAGCAUUCUCAAUACAAAGUGAUUUUGAAAUGCAGUUCAGAAAACAUUUUUUUUUAGUAGCAGGAACAAAUAGCAUUGACAUUUUUUUCGUUUGGCAGCAUCUUUGAGUAGAAAAGUGUCUGCACUUACUCCUGAGAUGUCAUGUGUCGGGAUUGCAUGUGGGAUCUGUUACUUGGGUUUUGUCUCUGUUUUUUUGCAAUUGUAAUUAUGUUUUUUACAGAGUUUUUAAUGCCAAAGGGAGCCAUUUAUGGGCUGAAAUGACAAGAGAUUUGUUUUCCUCAUAGCAUUGCAAGACUGGAAGAUGUCAGUAUCAUGAGAAGACCAGAUAACACAUUAUUUCCAUCCAGAGGAAUUCUGUCAUUCUUUCACAGAUACGAACACAAAUGCAGGGAAUAUUAUCCACUGCCUGGGACUGAUGUAGCACCCCAGUCAUACUCUUAACAAGUGUAACAACUUGAAGAAGCGAAGGGAUAAGUUUUAUUACUCUGUUUUAUU